UGAACUACAGACAAGCUUUCUUGAUUGAGGUCCUAGAAUUCCUCAUCUUCUUUUUUCGAACAUAAGCAGGGAAGAAGUUAUCAAAGAAAGCAUCCAUGAAAACUUCUCAGGUAGUAGGGGUAGGCAGGACUUCUUUCUUAAGUCGCCACCAGUGUUCGGCCUCACCGUUUAACAUGAAGGCUGCAAGAGGGACUUUUUGUUCUUCGGUCAGGUCUAGUAGAGAGAAGAGAUUUUAUAUUUUUAGGAUCCAGGCUACUAAAGGAUCUAGGCCACUUCAAAGUGUGGCGGAUUAAGUUUCCUAAACUCCACUAUAUUGCAAGAUGUAAACCGAUAUGUGUUUCAGAAUUCAGG
rnacentral:lncRNA from 1 species